rnacentral:miRNA from 1 species
UAUAUAUACACAGACACACAGACACACACACACACACAUAUAUAUAUAUAUAAUGUGUGUGUGUGUGUGUGUGUGUGUGUGUGUGUAUAUAUA